rnacentral:lncRNA from 1 species
CAGAUCUCGAUCCGCAGGAGGAUUGCGUAUAGAUGAUAGAUUUCUUUAUUUUUCGUUUAUUUCCUCAUUUUUAUGUUUCUUUCAAAAGAGUGAAUUCUAUAAUGUUGUUUGAUACUUUAAGUUAUUUGUGUAAAUAAUGUAAACCCUGAACAUUUUGUAACGGUCCUGGAAUUUUAAAUGGAAAUGUAUAUAUAAGAAAAAUUCUAAGUGCGGAAGCGGAAUAAAAAUUUUGAUUAAUAUCCCUUACACAAUAAUCCAAACGUACUAAACGUAUGAAAGAAUAAACUAAAUAAGGUAAAUACUAGAGAUGAAUGUUAUAAAUAAAACUAUGAAAUCUUUAGACAUCUACUCGCCAUCUUCCUGCGGGACGGGCUCGGGAACCAAGUCUUCCUGAUCUGAAAUG